CCAAAAAUUUUUGGCUAAAAGCUAAAGUCCAAAAACUUUUGGCUAAACUAUGGCUAAUAAAGCAGUGUUCAAAAACGUUUGGCUAAAUGAUGGAAUUCAAAUACUUUAGCUAAUAGAGAAGUGUCCAAACCCCUUUGGCUAAAUAUUGAAAUUUUAAUACUUUAACUAAUAAAGGAGUGUCCAAAAACUUUUGGUUAAAAGUGGGUGAGAAAGCUACAAAGCAGUUUAUUCAGCAGCUCCUCCAAACACACAGUACAGAAGAACAAUGCAGAAAGGGUUGUCACCGCUAGGUGGCAGUAAAACUGUAAAUGUGCACUCAAGCUUAUAAAGGAGGGAGCGCACUCAUUCCAUCUGAAGUGCCCUGGAUUAACUUAGUUCUUAAACUUUAAAUUUUACACCCACUGAAGCACUGAAAUUUACCUUGAACUCUUAAAACAUGUUACCGUGUUUUUCAUUGCCUUUUGUCUGAAAUAUGAUGCACGGGGUGUGUGUAAAUUUGUUGUUAUCUAAAUAAUGCAAUUCUUAGGGAGUAGGGAAGAAGGGAGCAUGUAGUCAAAUGGAUGUACCCACAGACGUGGCCUAAGAGCGCGUGCGUCAAAGGAGCGGAUCAUUGCGGUCUCUGAGUUGCAGUACUGACAUUCAUUGUUUGCUGAUCUUGACGUUCCAAGUGAACAAGAAAGAGAGAGAACUACAGUGCUUGGUUCCCUGUUAUUGCCUGGUAGGGGUGACCCGAGGCCUUGCUACCAGGUUACAAGUUUACCUGGUUUUGAAGAUCUCUCUUUUUCUUUAUUCCCAAUCCCCCUUUUCUAUCAUCUCUUUUUUCGUCCAAUCCCCUUUCUAUCCACUUGCACCUGCAAGUACAACGAUAAAGGGCAUUCAGUUGAACCCCUGAAAACGGAACUCUUGAAAAAUAACCCCUUGAAAUCUAAACUCUUGAAAAAUAACCCCUUGAAAUCUAAACUCUUGAAAAGGAAGGGCAUUCAGUUGACCCCUGAAAAACGGCUUCAUAGGGCAUUCAGUUGACCCCUGAAAAACGGCUUCAUAGGGCAUUCAGUUGACCCCUGAAAAACGGCUUCAUAGGGCAUUCAGUUGACCCCUGAAAAACGGCUUCAUAGGGCAUUCAGUUGACCCCUAAACAACGGUUUGAAAAGGGCAUUCAGUUGACCCCUAAACAACGGUUUGAAAAGGGCAUUCAGUUGACCCCUAAACAACGGUUUGAAAAGGGCAUUCAGUUGACCCCUGGAAACGGAAAUCUUGAAAAAAGAUCCCCUUGGCAAACUUGAUUCCCUCAUUUAACCCUGUAUAGUGUUUCCUUGUGAUUGGUUUCAGGUCAGACAAUUCUCUAAAGAAGCAAACUCUUCACCCGAAGACAGUCAUCACAUUGACCGCGGCAUCUGGAGCUGAAGACACACACAUUCACAUUAUCGACUGAAGCUGCAGUUACCUGUCAUUUCUUAUAGCAGUAUAUUGUGAUUUAAAAACAUACAGCUUCUUACAGUGUGUACAUACCACAUUUAAUACAUUUAGUAAAAAAUACAGUCUAUUAAAAUAUUUGUUGCUGAACCUUUUUACACAUUAAAUACGUAAUUAUUUCAUAAAAAGUUA